UUUGUGGAGUUUGACAUGAAGCC
rnacentral:piRNA from 1 species